UACGAAGGGUGCUAGCGUUGUUCGGAAUUACUGGGCGUAAAGCGCGCGUAGGCGGCUUUUCAAGUCAGGGGUGAAAUCCCACGGCUCAACCGUGGAAUUGCCUUUGAAACUGUUAAGCUGGAGUGUCGGAGGGGAUAGCGGAAUUGCUAAUGUAGCGGUGAAAUGCGUAGAUAUUAGCAGGAACACCGGUGGCGAAGGCGGCUAUCUGGACGACAACUGACGCUGAUGCGCGAAAGCGUGGGGAUCAAACAGG
rnacentral:rRNA from 1 species